AUUGAACGCUGGCGGCGUGCUUAACACAUGCAAGUCGAUCGGUAACAGGUGUAGCAAUACAUGCUGACGAGAGGCGGACGGGUGAGUAAUGCUUGGGAAUCUGCCUAUUAGUGGGGGACGAACCCGGGGAAACGUCGGCUAAUACCGCAUACGCUCUACGGAGGAAAGCCGGGACCGCAAGGCCUGGCGCUAAUAGAUGAGCCCAAGUCGGAUUAGUCUAGUUGGUAGGGUAACGGCCUACCAA
rnacentral:rRNA from 1 species